CCCUUUUGCCAAACCUUCACUAAGCAUAUACAUAUAUGUGUGUGUGUGUGUGUGUGUGUGUAGGCAGUCAUGUCUGCUGCUGGGAUUUCCUCCCAAACAAUACCUGUUGUGCUGGCCACAGCGGUUCUCUUGGUUCCCAUGCUCAGAGCAGUUUGAGUUUCCUGCUGGCUCAGCAGCAAGACUUUCAGAGCUUUUUAUACUUAUUCUUCUCUAGGAGCCAAGCGGAGGAGCGCAGUUUGCCUGUGAAUAGCGAGCUGGCUGGGCAGGCAGCAGGAAGCUUGCAUACUAAACCGUGUGAACUUUGAGGAGGGGAGGAAGGAGGCUGGGGGCUGCUGGCUGGGCUUCACGAGGCGUUUGCUGCAGCUCUCUGCCUUAUAAACUCAUCAUCUCAGCACAGGGAUGCCUUUCGCCAAAGGAACAAUAAUAUCUGUAAAAUGGGAGUGGAAAGAAGCGAGAGAGAGGAAAAUGGAAUUAUAUAGAAAACAGGAGGAGGGAUUGGAAAGUGGAGAAGAGUGAGGAGGCUUGGGUUUUAAUUAUUCACAUGAAAACUUGUGCACGGGUUCCUUGCACGUAGAGAUGCCACUGUACUGCUGGGCUCAUGGGCCCUCUUGUUCACCACCCCCUUAUUACCCCGACAGUGGUCACACCAACUUCUUUGGGUAGGGGCAGCUUUUCUGUAUUUCUCAGACAAAGUCAAAAGCACAGGAAUUAAAGCAUACUUCUCUCUUCCCCCCUGCAUACCCCUUCUACUCCUUUCCGUUGCUGUCAGCAAAAAUUAAUAAAUAAGCAGGUUCCCAUUCACAAGGACCAGGAAUCAUGGUGCGUCUAUGAAAGAGUGGUUUGAAGAGCAGCGCUGUGAAACACCAGUGCCUGCUUGUCAGUCACAGGCAAAACCAUCCCUGGAACAGGGAGAGAGGUGUUUUGUCAGCUGCUGUGGCUCUGCUGCAGAUGCAAGCAUGCUGAGGGCAUUCUCGGGAAAGAGUGGGAGGUCUGUCUACUCCCAGCUUGUGAGGCUCUGGGAGGACAUGCUGCUGAUGGGUCCUGAUGUGGCACAGACUAAACAUUCACAUGUCAUAUCCUGUUCAAGGAGUUGUUUCAAUGGAUGCGCUGCCAGCAAAGACACUUGGGUUUCGAUGGCUGAUCCUUUGCAAUUGUAACGGCAUUUAAUGAAAGGUCUUGUCGUUGGAAGGACAAAAUAUCCUUUAUCCAGCUUCAACUUCUGAAAGAAACACCACAAAUAUUUUUGGAUUGGAUGUGAAAUGUUGUGUAAAUUCUGUAAUACCAAGGGGGAAUAUCAGUCCUUUCCUUAUUAACAAACUAUAUAUCAAAACAAGAGUGCUUAAAGCCUAAAUGAUUUUAUACACAAUGAAUUCAUCAGAGUUUUACAUCCCCAGUAAGGGGAGUACUUAAAUAUAGAAGAAACAUGCAAAAAUAAUUUAGAUAUGAAACUAAAGAAAUAUUUGUGUAUUUGGUUGGUUUCUUUUUAAAAUUAGAUUUAGCUUUUCUUUUCAAUUCCUCCUCUCUGAAGUUGCUUGCACUUUGAGGCUGUGCAUCCUGAGCCCCGGAGGGCUCUGGCAGGAACAAGCAGGGACACAGGAGCCCUGAAUGACUUAUCAUAAAGGCAGAGAUUCAGAGCUGUCCUUCAAAAUUA